CCACUUCUGUCUCUGAUCAGGUUCCAGCCCUGAAUUUGAUCCCCGGUACCACAUACAAACCUGCUCUGCUUCACCUACCAGAACUGAAGGAGAACAGGUACUCAGGACUGCCCUGCCUGCCACUGCCGCCCAGUGCCUUGCCCAGUGAGACACAUGUGAUGCUGAAAACAGCACAGAAAUUUUGCUUUGAAUACCUAAAAGUUGUGACCGUUCAGUGUGUCAAGCACCCCGAUAUCCAGUCUCUUCCGGCUCAUGUUAUGUACAUUAUUUACAUACCAGGGGAAAGUCUAGCAUCUCAACCUGGAAGGAGACAAAAACUUGCAAAUGGGAGCAUUCUAUGAGCGGAAUGAGAAGAAACCAACCGUCAAAACAGAUUAAA